GAUGAACGCUGGCGGUGUGCCUAAUACAUGCAAGUCGAACGCAUUCUGGUUUUAGAUUGAAGGUGCUUGCAUCUGAUUGAUAAGACAUUGGAAUGAGUGGCGGACGGGUGAGUAACACGUGGGUAACCUGCCCAAAAGUGGGGGAUAACAUUUGGAAACAAAUGCUAAUACCGCAUAAUAGUUAGAACCGCAUGGUUCUAAUUUGAAAGAUGGUUUCGGCUAUCACUUUUGGAUGGACCCGCGGCGUAUUAGUUAGUUGGUGAGGUAAAGGCUCACCAAGACAAUGAUACGUAGCCGAACUGAGAGGUUGAUCGGCCACAAUGGGACUGAGACACGGCCCAUACUCCUACGGGAGGCAGCAGUAGGGAAUCUUCCACAAUGGGCGAAAGCCUGAUGGAGCAACACCGCGUGAGUGAAGAAGGGUUUCGGCUCGUAAAACUCUGUUGUUGGAGAAGAACGUAUGUAAUAGUAACUGAUUACAUAGUGACGGUAUCCAACCAGAAAGCCACGGCUAACUACGUGCCAGCCGCCGCAGUAACAC
rnacentral:rRNA from 1 species